rnacentral:rRNA from 1 species
AGGACGAACGCUGGCGGCGUGCUUAACACAUGCAAGUCGAACGGUAAGGCCCUUCGGGGUACACGAGUGGCGAACGGGUGAGUAACACGUGGGUGAUCUGCCCUGCACUUCGGGAUAAGCUUGGGAAACUGGGUCUAAUACCGGAUAUGACUACGAAUCGCAUGGUUUGUGGUGGAAAGCUUUUGCGGUGUGGGAUGGGCCCGCGGCCUAUCAGCUUGUUGGUGGGGUGAUGGCCUACCAAGGCGACGACGGGUAGCCGGCCUGAGAGGGUGUCCGGCCACACUGGGACUGAGAUACGGCCCAGACUCCUACGGGAGGCAGCAGUGGGGAAUAUUGCACAAUGGGCGCAAGCCUGAUGCAGCGACGCCGCGUGAGGGAUGGACGGCCUUCGGGUUGUAACCGUCUUUCAGUAUCGACGAGCGCAAGUGACGGUAGGUACAGAAGAAGGACCGGCCAACUACGCGCCAGCAGCCGCGGUAA